rnacentral:rRNA from 1 species
UGGCGAACGGGUGAGUAACGGGUGGAAAACCUGCCCUUCAAUGGGGGAUAACAGUUCUAACGAGCUGCUAAUACCGCAUACGACCUUUGGCCCGCAUGUUCCAAAGGUGAAAGGUGGCCUCUCUUUGAAGCUGCCGUUGAAGGAUGGUUCCGCCUCCCAUUAGCUUGUUGGUGGGGUAAUGGCCUACCAAGGCGACGAUGGGUAGCCGGCCUGAGAGGGUGUCCGGCCACACUGGGACUGAGAUACGGCCCAGACUCCUACGGGAGGCAGCAGUCGAGAAGCUUCGGCAAUGGGCGAAAGCCUGACCGAGCGAUGCCGCGUGAGUGAAGAAGGCCCUAUGGGUUGUAAAGCUCUGUCAGAUUGGGAAGAAAAUCCUACGGUUAAUACCCGUGGGACUUGACGGUACCAUCAGAGGAAGCACCGGCUAACUCCGUGCCAGCAGCCGCGGUAAUACGGAGGGUGCAAGCGUUGUUCGGAUUCACUGGGUAUAAAGGGUGCGCAGGCGGCUUGAUAAGUCAGGGGUGAAAUAUGACGGCUUAACCGUCAAACUGCCCCUGAAACUGUCAGGCUUGAGUUCGAGAGAGGUAGGUGGAAUUCCAGGUGUAGCGGUGAAAUGCGUAAAUAUCUGGAGGAACACCGGUGACGAAGGCGGCCUACUGGCUCGAUACUGACGCUCAGGCACGAAAGCAUGGGGAGCGAACGGGAUUAGAUACCCCGGUAGUCCAUGCCGUAAACGAUGGGUACUAGGUGUUGGAGGAUUCUACCCCUUCAGUGCCGCAGCUAACGCAUUAAGUACCCCACCUGGGGAGUACGAUCGCAAGGUUGAAACUCAAAGGAAUUGACGGGGGCCCGCACAAGCGGUGGAGCAUGUGGUUUAAUUCGAUGCAACGCGAAGAACCUUACCUGGGCUUGACAUGCAGGGGACAGAUGUAGAAUACAUCCUUCUUCGGACUCCUGUACAGGUGCUGCAUGGCUGUCGUCAGCUCGUGUCGUGAAAUGUUGGGUUAAGUCCCGCAACGAGCGCAACCCUUGUCUUUAGUUGCCAUCAG